UACGUAGGGGGCAAGCGUUGUCCGGAAUUACUGGGCGUAAAGGGAGCGUAGGCGGUUUGUUAAGUUGGAUGUGAAAUACCCGGGCUUAACCUGGGAGGUGCAUACAAAACUGGCAGACUUGAGUGUGGGAGAGGAAAGUGGAAUUCCUAGUGUAGCGGUGAAAUGCGUAGAUAUUAGGAGGAACACCAGUGGCGAAGGCGACUUUCUGGACCAUAACUGACGCUGAGGCUCGAAAGCGUGGGGAGCAAAC
rnacentral:rRNA from 1 species